UAACAACAACAACAACAACA
rnacentral:piRNA from 1 species